CUUCUUUCCACAAAUGCGGAGUAUUUUUCUUGACACUCAGUUCUACCUACUUCAGGGAGCAGCAGCUCUACAUCCUAAUCAGGAUAGAAGUGAUUCGAGAGAUUAUGCUGCAUUACUGAUUCACAAUCACGCAUCAGAGGUCCUGGGUUCUUGUAAAGUUAGGCAACAAUUAUAACAAAAGAGCAAAUUCCUGAAUUCUCUUCUCAAUAGGAUGAAUUUACCUUCCUGCAAGAUGGCCUGAUGCAAUCAAAGCCCCCAAUCCUCAAACAUUAAGUUUAGCUGAAGCCGAGAACAAUUAGAAGAUGCAUUUGCUGCUGCAAGAAACAGAGUAAUUGCAUAAAGUCAUUGCCUCCUGCCUUUAAAAGUCAAAAUCUGAAGAUGCGAUGGAAUGGACAGUCAAGAGCCACCCAGAUGGGGGGCUCCCGCCACAUCUGGAGCAGAGGUGAACUCAGCAGUCUGAACGGAACGUGGACCGUAGCCUGUACUCUACGAGCCAUGCAGAUGUGCGAGUGAACGAGGCAGCUUAAGGAGCCUGUCCUGUGGGCACACGAUUGAGUGUCACACCCCCUUUUACUAUGGACACACUGUUCACGGGGCAUGCACAUACACGUUCUCAGCUGAUAACCUGUAGCAGGGCCCCCUGGCAAGCAGAAAGGCAGAGUUGUCUACUUUUGUCUUAAAAACUUUAGAAUAUCAAAUUUAGAGAAACUGAAAGAUUUUUCCCAAGAUCACCUGGCUAGGAAGUGGCACAGCCAGGAUUUGAAAGCUGGUUCUUCAAAUUCUCUCCCAAUACCUCAAAAAGUGUCCUCAGUGACAGCAGGCUUCCAAAACGUCUAGGGGUACGUUAAGAAGGGCGGAUAGCUUUAAAGAGUAUUUACUUGGCUCUCGGGUGGACAUUUUGCACCCCUGCGUCUCUAGAAGUGAUGGGAGACUCACAAUUUGGCUUCCGAGGCCAGAGACCCCUCUCCCCCCUUUAUUCAGAACUGAACAGAGACAGACUUCCUGGAGACUGAGUUCAGUUUCCUACCUUCUGCUCUACCUGCAGGGCCCUCCAGUUAGAAACGAGGGUGCUGACUUCCUGCUCCAUCUGGGAAUUUUACCUUUCGAGCUGGCCUCUGAAGAGAGUCCUCUAUGCUUCCUCGAGCAAUAACCCAGGGGCAAAAAUAUUAAGAUCCCACACCGCAGGCUUUGCAACGGACCCCACACCUACAGGCUGCGACUCCUUCCCAACACCACAGAGUCCACAGCACAUGUGAGAUUCUGGAAGACUGUUGUUAAUGUGCACAGAAAACAGAUCGGGGUCCUGACACCUGCCCAGCUGGGGUGACGGACGGCAGCGUGUUCUCUCUUCCCAGGGCACCUGGACCUGCAGCUGGGAGCAUCGUGAGCACAAAGAACUUGCAGGAGGUACAUUUUCCUUGGCCGACCUGGCUGGGCCCCGAGGGACACCAGGAAGGUAUCCUUUGCUACAAGGGCAAGAAGCCGAAGCUUCUACUCAUUUGAAAUGCUGGUUGUGUUCAAAGCUUCCCCGCCCACCUUGCCACCACCCUCAGGCUGCUACCUCCGGGCUCCUACCCUACAUGCACACAGUGACCCAGAUCACUCACACAUCAGGCGCUGGCUGCACAACCAGCUUUCUACUCUGAAUAACCCAGAUUACUUCCUACUAAGGCCAUGAUAUUUAAAUUAGAAACACGCUUCCCCAGAUAAUAGGUGACCUGAUCCUUUAAUCCAGUUAUUUUUAAGUUCCACCAAAAAUACAAACUCAUUCUUGGCCUAGGUACAGAGGCGUGGCUAUAAAAUAAGACUUCCGCAUAGCUGUGCAACCAGAGAGCAUCUCCGGUCUCCCUUCUUAUCCUCUCUCUCUUUCCUAAGUCAAGUUUUGAGUACCCAGGACACAACUGUUAUCACGGCAGAGAACUGGUUCUGUGGUCCAUGUCGUGGAACCAUCUAGAAGGUUUCUUAUGGGACUCAACUUCCUGGCUGUAGUUUCUGGCACAAAGGCCCAGCCUUUCUUUCUGAGGACGUCUAUGGCAUCGCCAUCCUGCUCUUCUCUCUGGCUUAUGGUACAGAGACAGGCUUGAAGGUGGGAUGAAAAUACUUCGGAAACUUCCUUUGCUGGGAACAAACUAUGUCUUGGCUCACACUUCUGUGGAAGGCAAGUGGUCAAUUUAUAGCAUAAAGGAGUCUCCCCAAGACCACAGCCUGCCCUAUUAAUAGCAUCCCCUUCACCCAGCUGCAAAGUCCCCGACUCGGAUGUUGGGCUGCACAUCUGGAAGAUGUCAAGGUGUCGUAUGAUUAACACGUUUAUAGCUCGGGCUCUCCAUGAA